AACGUAGGUGGCGAGCGUUAUCCGGAUUUACUGGGCGUAAAGGGUGUGCAGGCGGGCCGUUAAGUGGUGCAUGAAAGCACUGGGCUUAACCCAGUGAGGCUGUGCCAGACUGGCGGUCUGGAGUGUGCGAGAGGGCUGUGGAAUUCCGGGUGUAGUGGUGAAAUGCGUAGAGAUCCGGAGGAACACCAGAGGCGAAGGCGGCAGCCUGGCGCACAACUGACGCUGAGACACGACAGCAUGGGGAGCGAACGGG
rnacentral:rRNA from 2 species